rnacentral:rRNA from 1 species
CCGUGGUAAUUCUAGAGCUAAUACAUGCUGAAAAUCCCGACUUCGGAAGGGAUGUAUUUAUUAGAUUAAAAACCAAUGCCCUCCGGGGCUCACUGGUGAUUCAUGAUAACUUCUCGAAUCGCAUGGCCUUGCGCCGGCGAUGGUUCAUUCAAAUUUCUGCCCUAUCAACUUUCGACUGCUGGGUCUUGGCCAGCAAUGGUGACAACGGGUAACGGAGGGUUAGGGCUCGACCCCGGAGAAGGAGCCUGAGAAACGGCUACUACAUCCAAGGAAGGCAGCAGGCGCGCAAAUUACCCAAUCCCGACACGGGGAGGUAGUGACAAUAAAUACUGAUACAGGGCUCUUUCGGGUCUUGUAAUUGGAAUGAGUACAAUUUAAAUCCCUUAACGAGGAACAAUUGGAGGGCAAGUCUGGUGAAAAACGCUGGCGCCGGAAAUAGUAAGCCCGUUAAAAUUACUAGUCGAGCAUUCGUAACUGGCGGGAGAAUGCCGGCGAGACAACCCGGGCCGNNNNAGGUUACGGGGCUUUUAGCCCUAUGCCAACCCCGGGCAGAGCCGAUGUCUAGGUGACCUUGGCCUGUUUAGAGCGCGGAAGGGUGUCGGUCCUGCGUAUUAGGGCGUGCAAGCGCUCCGAUGCCAGGGCUUAAGGGACGUGCCAACCCCCCGCGAAAGCGGGGUAUCGCCUCGGAGUGCCCGCCGCACGACGAGACGAUGGGCGACCUCUUGUGCAGAGAGGGAGCCGUACUGUUCAAAAAUGGCCAGCAGCCGCGGUAAUUCCAGCUCCAAUAGCGUAUAUUAAAGUUGUUGCAGUUAAAAAGCUCGUAGUUGAACCUUGGGCCUGGCCGGCCGGUCCGCCUCACCGCGUGCACUGGUUCGGCCGGGCCUUUUCCUCUGGCGAGCCCCAUGCCCUUCACUGGGCGUGCGGGGGAACCAGGACUUUUACUUUGAAAAAAUUAGAGUGUUCAAAGCAGGCCUAUGCUCGAAUACAUUAGCAUGGAAUAAUAGAAUAGGACGUGCGGUUCUAUUUUGUUGGUUUCUAGGACCGCCGUAAUGAUUAAUAGGGACAGUCGGGGGCAUCAGUAUUCAAUUGUCAGAGGUGAAAUUCUUGGAUUUAUUGAAGACUAACUACUGCGAAAGCAUUUGCCAAGGAUGUUUUCAUUAAUCAGGAACGAAAGUUAGGGGAUCGAAGACGAUCAGAUACCGUCGUAGUCUUAACCAUAAACUAUGCCGACUAGGGAUCGGACGAUG